GAUGAACGCUGGCGGCGUGCUUAACACAUGCAAGUCGAACGGAAAGGCCCAAGCUUGCUUGGGUACUCGAGUGGCGAACGGGUGAGUAACACGUGGGUGAUCUGCACUGCACUUCGGGAUAAGCCUGGGAAACUGGGUCUAAUACCGGAUAGGACCAAAUUUUGGAUGGUGUGGUGGAAAGUUUUUCGGUGUGGGAUGAGCUAGCGGCCUAUCAGCUUGUUGGUGGGGUAAUGGCCUACCAAGGCGUCGACGGGUAGCCGGCCUGAGAGGGUGUACGGCCACAUUGGGACUGAGAUACGACCCAGACUCGUACGGGAGGCAGCAGUGGGGAAUAGUGCACAAUGGGCGCAAGCCUGAUGCAGCGACGCCGCGUGGGGGAUGACGGCCUUCGGGUUGUAAACUCCUUUCGCUAGGGACGAAGCGCAAGUGACGGUACCUGGAGAAGAAGCACCGGCUAACUACGUG
rnacentral:rRNA from 1 species